rnacentral:rRNA from 1 species
UCCCUACGGGGUGCACCAGGCGCGAAAACUUUACAAUGCAGGAAACUGUGAUAAGGGAACCCCGAGUGCCUGUAUGGACAGGCUGUUCAGGUGCGUAAAAAACACCUGGAGAAAGGACCGGGCAAGACCGGUGCCAGCCGCCGCGGUAAUACA